UACGUAGGGGGCAAGCGUUGUCCGGAAUCAUUGGGCGUAAAGCGCGCGUAGGCGGCUUCGUAAGUCCGUUGUGAAAGUCAAAGGCUCAACCUUUGAAAGCCGAUGGAUACUGCGGAGCUAGAGUACGGAAGAGGCGAGUGGAAUUCCUGGUGUAGCGGUGGAAUGCGCAGAUAUCAGGAGGAACACCAAUAGCGAAGGCAGCUCGCUGGGACGUUACUGACACUGAGGCGCGAAAGCGUGGGGAGCGAACAGG
rnacentral:rRNA from 1 species